GUUACUGCUAUCGGAGUUCGAUUAAGCCAUGCGAGUCUAAAGGUCUCUUCGGAAACCUUGGCGGACUGCUCAGUGACACGUGGAUAACCUACCCUUGGGACUGGAAUAACCCCGGGAAACUGGGGAUAAUACCGGAUAGAUCAUGGAUGCUGGAAUGCACCUUGAUCCAAAGCUCCGGCGCCCAAGGAUGGGUCUGCGGCCUAUCAGGUUGUAGUGGGUGUAACGUACCUACCAGCCGACGACGGGUACGGGUUGUGAGAGCAAGAGCCCGGAGAUGGAUUCUGAGACACGAAUCCAGGCCCUACGGGGUGCAGCAGGCGCGAAAACUUUACAAUGUGCGAAAGCAUGAUAAGGGAACUCCGAGUGCCAGUAUCUAAUACUGGCUGUCCUUGUGCCUAAAACGCACAAGAUAGCAAGGGCCGGGUAAGACCGGUGCCAGCCGCCGCGGUAACACCGGCGGCCCGAGUGGUAGCCGCUAUUAUUGGGUCUAAAGGGUCCGUAGCCGGUUCGGUAAGUCCUCUGGGAAAUCUGGUUGCUUAACAAUCAGACUGCCAAGGGAUACUGUCGAACUUGAGACCGGGAGAGGUAAGAGGUACUUCAGGGGUAGGAGUGAAAUCUUGUAAUCCCUGGGGGACCAUCUGUGGCGAAGGCGUCUUACCAGAACGGGUCUGACGGUGAGGGACGAAAGCUGGGGGCGCAAACCGGAUUAGAUACCCGGGUAGUCCCAGCCGUAAACGAUGCUCGCUAUGUGUCAGGUACGGUGUGACCGUAUCUGGUGCCGUAGGGAAGCCGUGAAGCGAGCCACCUGGGAAGUACGGUCGCAAGACUGAAACUUAAAGGAAUUGGCGGGGGAGCACUACAACGGGUGGAGCCUGCGGUUUAAUUGGA
rnacentral:rRNA from 1 species